AGGUCAGGACACGGUAAGGAUUGACGGACUGAAGGCUUCUUUCUCGAUUCCGUGGAAAGUGGUGCAUGGCCGUUUUUGGUGGUGGAUCGAUCCGUCUGGUUAAUUCCGUUAACGAACGAGACCUCGGCACUCCGAAUAGCGCGGCGGACGUCGCGGCCUCCGGGCCGUCUUCCGCGCGAGCUUCUUAGAGGGACCGUCCCCCCGCCGGGGAAGGAGGUGCGAGGCAACGACAGGUCUGUGAUGCCCUUAGAUGUUCUGGGCCGCACGCGCAUUACACUGACGCGUCCAACGGGUGACUCCCGACCCGAAGGGGCCGGGGAAUCCGCAAGGCGCGUCGUGAUGGGGAUUGAACGUUGCAAUUGUUGUUCACGAACGAGGAAUUCCUAGUAGGCGCGGGGUCAUCAACCCGCGCCGAUUACGUCCCUGCCCUUUGUACACACCGCC
rnacentral:rRNA from 1 species